rnacentral:rRNA from 1 species
UAGAGUUUGAUCCUGGCUCAGAAUCAACGCUGGCGGCGUGCCUAACACAUGCAAGUCGAACGCGAAAGGGGAGCAAUCCCUGAGUAGAGUGGCAAACGGGUGAGUAACACGUGGGUGACCUGCCUCAGAGUGGGGGAUAACGUCCCGAAAGGGACGCUAAUACCGCAUAACAUCCUGCCUUUGGAAAGGCGGAGAUCAAAGCCGGGGAUCGCAAGACCUGGCGCUUGGAGAGGGGCCCGCGUCUGAUUAGCUAGUUGGUAGGGUAAUGGCCUACCAAGGCGACGAUCAGUAUCCGGCCUGAGAGGGCGGACGGACACACUGGGACUGAGACACGGCCCAGACUCCUACGGGAGGCAGCAGUGGGGAAUUGUUCGCAAUGGGCGAGGCUUGCCGGACGCAACGCCGCGUGGAGGAUGAAGAUCUUCGGGUCGUAAACUCCUGUCGAGCGGGACGAACACUUAUCCGGAUAACACCUGGAUAGGCUGACGGUACCGCUAAAGGAAGCCCCGGCUAACUCCGUGCCAGCAGCCGCGGUAAUACGGGGGGGGCAAGCGUUGUUCGGAAUUACUGGGCGUAAAGGGCUCGUAGGCGGCCAACUAAGUCAGACGUGAAAUCCCCAGGCUCAACCUGGGAACUGCGUCUGAUACUGGAUGGCUUGAAUCCGGGAGAGGGAUGCAGAAUUCCAGGUGUAGCGGUGAAAUGCGUAGAUAUCUGGAGGAAUACCGGUGGCGAAGGCGGCAUCCUGGACCGGCAUUGACGCUGAGGAGCGAAAGCCAGGGGAGCAAACGGGAUUAGAUACCCCGGUAGUCCUGGCCCUAAACGAUGAAUGCUUGGUGUAACGGGUAUCGAUCCCUGUUGUGCCGAAGCUAACGCAUUAAGCAUUCCGCCU